CCUAGGGUGGCUGCAGUGGGGAAUAUUGGACAAUGGGCGAAAGCCUGAUCCAGCCAUGCCGCGUGUGUGAAGAAGGCCUUCGGGUUGUAAAGCACUUUCAGUGGGGAAGAAAGCCUUGGGGCUAAUACCCUCGAGGAAGGACAUCACCCACAGAAGAAGCACCGGCUAACUCCGUGCCAGCAGCCGCGGUAAUACGGAGGGUGCGAGCGUUAAUCGGAAUUACUGGGCGUAAAGCGCGCGUAGGCGGUCUGAUAAGCCGGUUGUGAAAGCCCCGGGCUCAACCUGGGAACGGCAUCCGGAACUGUCAGGCUAGAGUGCAGGAGAGGAAGGUAGAAUUCCCGGUGUAGCGGUGAAAUGCGUAGAGAUCGGGAGGAAUACCAGUGGCGAAGGCGGCCUUCUGGACUGACACUGACGCUGAGGUGCGAAAGCGUGGGUAGCAAACAGGAUUAGAUCCCCUAGUAGUC
rnacentral:rRNA from 1 species